AGAGUUUGAUCUGGCUCAGGACGAACGCUGGCGGCGUGCCUAACACAUGCAAGUCGAGCGGGGAGGAGGAAGCUUGCUUCCGAAUCCUAGCGGCGGACGGGUGAGUAACGCGUGAGCAACCUGCCUUAUACUGGGGAAUAACGCAUCGAAAGAUGUGCUAAUACCGCGUAAGACCACACUACCGCAUGGUAGAGGGGUCAAAGGAGCAAUCCGGUGUAAGAUGGGCUCGCGUCCGAUUAGCUAGUUGGUGAGAUAACGGCCCACCAAGGCGACGAUCGGUAGCCGACCUGAGAGGGUGAUCGGCCACAUUGGAACUGAGACACGGUCCAGACUCCUACGGGAGGCAGCAGUGGGGAAUAUUGGGCAAUGGGCGCAAGCCUGACCCAGCAACGCCGCGUGAGGGAAGAAGGGUUUCGGCUCGUAAACCUCUGUCCUAUGGGACGAAGAAGUGACGGUACCAUAGGAGGAAGCCCCGGCUAACUACGUGCCAGCAGCCGCGGUAAUACGUAGGGGGCAAGCGUUGUCCGGAAUGAUUGGGCGUAAAGGGCGCGUAGGCGGCCGCUUAAGUCUGGAGUGAAAGUCCUGCUUUCAAGGUGGGAAUUGCUUUGGAUACUGGGUGGCUUGAGUGCAGGAGAGGAAAGCGGAAUUACCGGUGUAGCGGUGAAAUGCGUAGAGAUCGGUAGGAACACCAGUGGCGAAGGCGGCUUUCUGGACUGUAACUGACGCUGAGGCGCGAAAGCGUGGGGAGCAAACAGGAUUAGAUACCCUGGUAGUCCACGCGGUAAACGAUGAGUGCUAGGUGUAGGAGGUAUCGACCCCUUCUGUGCCGCAGUUAACACAAUAAGCAUUCCGCCUGGGGAGUACGGCCGCAAGGUUGAAACUCAAAGGAAUUGACGGGGGCCCGCACAAGCAGCGGAGCAUGUGGUUUAAUUCGACGCAACGCGAAGAACCUUACCAGGAUUUGACAUCCAACUAACGAAGUAGAGAUACAUUAGGUGCCCUUCGGGGAAAGUUGAGACAGGUGGUGCAUGGUUGUCGUCAGCUCGUGUCGUGAGAUGUUGGGUUAAGUCCCGCAACGAGCGCAACCCCUAUUGUUAGUUGCUACGCAAGAGCACUCUAGCGAGACUGCCGUUGACAAAACGGAGGAAGGCGGGGACGACGUCAAAUCAUCAUGCCCCUUAUGUCCUGGGCUACACACGUAAUACAAUGGUGGUUAACAGAGGGAAGCAAAGCCGCGAGGUGGAGCAAAUCCCUAAAAGCCAUCUCAGUUCGGAUUGCAGGCUGCAACUCGCCUGCAUGAAGCUGGAAUUGCUAGUAAUCGUGGAUCAGCAUGCCACGGUGAAUACGUUCCCGGGCCUUGUACUCACCGCCCGUCA
rnacentral:rRNA from 1 species